rnacentral:rRNA from 1 species
GGUUGACCUCGGAUCAGGUAGGAAGACCCGCUGAACUUAAGCAUAUCAAUAAGCGGAGGAAAAGAAACCAACAGGGAUUGCCCUAGUAACGGCGAGUGAAGCGGCAACAGCUCAAAUUUGAAAUCUGGCUUCGGCCCGAGUUGUAAUUUGCAGAGGAAGCUUUAGGCGCGGCACCAACUGAGUCCCCUGGAACGGGGCGCCACAGAGGGUGAGAGCCCCGUAUAGUUGGACGCCUAGCCUGUGUAAAGCUCCUUCGACGAGUCGAGUAGUUUGGGAAUGCUGCUCAAAAUGGGAGGUAAAUUUCUUCUAAAGCUAAAUACCGGCCAGAGACCGAUAGCGCACAAGUAGAGUGAUCGAAAGAUGAAAAGCACUUUGAAAAGAGGGUUAAAUAGCACGUGAAAUUGUUGAAAGGGAAGCGCUUGUGACCAGACUUGCGCCCGGCUGAUCAUCCGGUGUUCUCACCGGUGCACUCUGCCGGGCUCAGGCCAGCAUCGGUUCUCGCGGGGGGAUAAAGGCCCUGGGAACGUAGCUCCUCCGGGAGUGUUAUAGCCCAGGGCGUAAUGCCCUCGCGGGGACCGAGGUUCGCGCAUCUGCAAGGAUGCUGGCGUAAUGGUCAUCAGCGACCCGUCUUGAAACACGGACCAAGGAGUCAAGGUUUUGCGCGAGUGUUUGGGUGUAAAACCCGCACGCGUAAUGAAAGUGAACGUAGGUGAGAGCUUCGGCGCAUCAUCGACCGAUCCUGAUGUUUUCGGAUGGAUUUGAGUAGGAGCGUUAAGCCUUGGACCCGAAAGAUGGUGAACUAUGCUUGGAUAGGGUGAAGCCAGAGGAAACUCUGGUGGAGGCUCGCAGCGGUUCUGACGUGCAAAUCGAUCGUCAAAUCUGAGCAUGGGGGCGAAAGACUAAUCGAAC